CUGGAAACCGAGAGAGCAGAACAGGAGAAAGUAUUAAGAACAGACGACACCAUAAACGGAGGAGGAACCUCUGGAAGACAGAACCCAUCUGUAUCAGAACGUCUUGAAGGCAGAAGAAGGGUUCUGGAACAGGAAGAGUAAGAAGGAAGAAUGAGGUCAAGGAGUUGGAGAAGAAGAUGGAGUUCAAAGCGGAGGAAAGGUGAGGUUUAAAGGGGAGAAAGGGUGUUUGAAGGUUUAUAAAUUAUAAUAGAACUUAUAAUUCAC
rnacentral:lncRNA from 1 species